rnacentral:rRNA from 1 species
AAACAGGGCAGCUAGAGUCUUGUAGAAGGGGGGUAGAAAUCCAGGUGUAGCGGUGAAAUGCGUAGAGAUCUGGAGGAAUUACCGGUGGCGAAGGCGGGCCCCCUGGACAAAGACUGACGCUCAAGGUGCGAAAGCGUGGGGGAGCAAACAAGAUUAGAUACCCCUGGUAGUCCACGCCGUAAAACGAUGUCGACUUGGAGGUUGUGCCCUUGAAGGCGUGGCUUCCGGAGCUAACGCGUUAAAGUCGACCGCCUGGGGAGUACGGCCGCAAAGGUUAAAACUCAAAUGAAUUUGACGGGGGCCCGCACAAGCGGUGGAGCAUGUGGUUUAAUUCGAUGCAAACGCGAAGAACCUUACCUACUCUUGACAUCCAGAGAACUUUCCAGAGAUGGAUUGGUGCCUUCGGGAACUCUGAGACAGGUGCUGCAUGGCUGUCGUCAGCUCGUGUUGUGAAAUGUUGGGUUAAGUCCCGCAACGAGCGCAACCCUUAUCCUUUGUUGCCAGCGGUUCGGCCGGGAACUCAAAGGAGACUGCCAGUGAUAAACUGGAGGAAGGUGGGGAUGACGUCAAGUCAUCAUGGCCCUUACGAGUAGGGCUACACACGUGCUACAAUGGCGCAUACAAAGAGAAGCGACCUCGCGAGAGCAAGCGGACCUCAUAAAGUGCGUCGUAGUCCGGAUUGGAGUCUGCAACUCGACUCCAUGAAGUCGGAAUCGCUAGUAAUCGUAGAUCAGAAUGCUACGGUGAAUACGUUCCCGGGCCUUGUACACACCGCCCGUCACACCAUGGGAGUGGGUUGCAAAAGAAGUAGGUUUGCUUAAUCUUCGCGAAGACUGCAUAGCUACUUCCAAUAAAAGGCC